ACUACGGUACGUGUACCAGUCAGUGUACGCUGGGUCCUGGCUGGCCGGUCCGCCUCACCGCGUGUACUGGUCCGGCCGGGCCUUUCCCUCUGUGGAACCCCAUGCCCUUCACUGGGUGUGGCGGGGAAACAGGACUUUUACUGUGAAAAAAUUAGAGUGCUCCAGGCAGGCCUAUUGCUCGAAUACAUUAGCAUGGAAUAAUAGAAUAGGACGUGUGGUUCUAUUUUGUUGGUUUUCUAGGACCGCCUUGUAAUGAUUAAUAGGGACAGUCGGGGGCAUCAGUAUUCAAUUGUCAGAGGUGAAAUUCUUUGGAUUUAUUGACAGAGACUAACUACUGCGAAAGCAUUUGCCAAGGAUGUUUUCAUUAAUCAGGAACGAAAGUCAUAGGGGAUCGACAGACGAUCAGAUACCGUCGUAGUCUUAACCAUAAACUAUGCCGACUAGGGAUCGGACGGCUGUUAUUUUUUAGACCCGUUCGGCACCUUACGAGAAAUCAAAGUGCUUGGGCUCCAGGGGGAGUAUGGUCGCCAAGGCUGAAACUUAAAGAAAUUGACGGAAGGGCACCACCAGGGGUGGAGCCUGCGAGAGUCAGUCAGUCGUACGUGACUG
rnacentral:rRNA from 1 species